ACCAAGUGGACCUGGUGGGCCAAAAGGACCAAGUGGGCCUAGAGGACCGAUGGACCUGGUGGACCAAGUGGGCCAAAAGGACCGAGUGGACCAAGUGGACC
rnacentral:lncRNA from 1 species